AGCAUCUUGCUGCCAUUGCUUCUUGUGUCCUCUGAUAGUGUUUAAGCCCUUUUGAACAGCAGCCCAUGGAAGGGGAUGGGUGGACAGACUGUCUAUUAAAACAGGAUCAAGGCCAUAAGAAUAACAGCAUGAGAACAAUGCGAGAACAACUGACAACAGAGGAAAACAGCUGUCCCAGAAAAGCUGGAAAACACUCUUACGGCAGCUUAGGAGAAAAGAACAUUGUACCUUGACAAGCACUGUGGUUUCCCAUCUCUGUCAAUGGGUUCAGCAAGUGACUCAGAGUGACACAUAAAUGAACAAUCAGCGCCGCUCCCUGCAGUGUCUGGCCAUUCAGAGAACUCCCUCACCACCCAUACAUCUUUGUGGUUUGAGAAGUCUGACAAGAUUGCCAUCAAAAGUGGAAAAUUCGGGAAAGCCCAACUCUGUUUUGACAUCAGCCACUGGUUUAAAAUGCCAAAGCACAGAGAAAGCAAAACCACGAAGAUACAGGAACUGCAACGCAACUGUUGUCAAGGAAAAUCAAACAGUCCAGGGUUUGUAAGCUCAGUUUUUCCUUACAGUCUAUCAAUGUAUAUUCAUGAGGAAGCUGGAGGGGAAAUGGCACAAGAGCUCUCUUCCUUGUGUGUACUCAGUGGAUGGUCCACCAAGAGCCUCGACCCUUGCUCUCAGGAAGGAGACGAGUCUAUCAUGUUCAAGAGAGGUGAAAGGUGCAAGAAGAAUGUCAAGCUCUCUGUCCAGCGGGUCCUUGAGGGACAGAUGAGCAGGCUCCAAGUCUUUCAACAGUGUUAUUGAACAUGCUCCUUCACAGCCAAUGUACUCUCCAGAUGCUACUUGGCAUCUGUGGUUAAAUCCAUGGAUGUUUGAUAUGCUCAGUACUGAUCAGGAAGAGUUAAACAGUCUCAUUUCUCCAAAGAAAACAAAAAGUCUCUUGUCUUCAAGGCAUCACAUAUUUUCAAGUGCCUCUAUACUUGAAUAUCCACCUGGAAGUCUUUUUGGGCUGGAUGCUUAAUGCCCCUGAACUUCACAGCUAUAAACAGUGUUAUGAAGCACUGUGGUUGUUCAGUGUUUGGGAAGGAGGAGAUGCCUGGUGUUGAAAUAUGCAUUUGAGGCAUCCUCUGAAAUACAGUGGAAAGGCAGUCAGCUAUUGUCCUUAAAUAAAGGGAAUAGGAGAGAGCAAACUAAAUCAUAUUUGGGUUUUGCCUUCAAAUCCAGCCAUUCAUGAUGCCUUCUUUUUACUCAAAAUGCAGCAUGCCUUGAGAUUUUGCCAUCUGCUCUUUCCUUUAGGAAAAGUCUGCUUUAUUUUACCUCCCUUGCAAAAAUUAACAUCAUAAUGAGGAAAGCACUUUGCUGUUCUGGUUUGCAGUACACCAGGAGACAAAACAACCCACAAGUCCAUGUCCUUGACUGAAUUGGCAGUGUCUUGGCACCCAUGUAUUUAUAACCUCUAAAAGGUAUCCACACCAAGUGAUAUGUGGGCUGGGGGAGCAGCAGUGCCAGAGAGUCACCUCUGUGUGCUGAAUGGUCAUCUUUGCAGAGGGAGUCGGUACUGUAACUUUUUUCGUGUGGGAACAUUAAUGACUGUACAUUGUUAUAUCUCGAGCCAUUGUCUGUACUUGUAUUUGGUAUCUUAAAGCUGCUGCCCCUGUGGAGGAAGAAGAGAUGACUUCUCUCCAUCCAUGGAAAUGCCACCAAGAACAGUCCCAGAUUAUGUGCUGAGUGCUUGAAUGUCCCCAUCUGGCCCAUAGGUCUGCCAAAGGUUUUAUAGAGGCUGUAGCCUAGAGGUGUUUGGGACAGGACCCAUAGCAUGGUGUAGACUGGCAAGUUGUAAUUGCACCUGUUUGGCUGAGGAUGACAUGAAAUGAAGCAUGGCAGCUAAGAGGAAAGCAAAUGCUGAUAUGAAAAUAACCCUUCUCCAUUUCAUUCCUCACCUAAGGUACAACAGCAAGGUAAUUUCUGAUAGAAAACAAACCACCUGCACUGAGGAGGCUGAAAAUAUAAGUUCAAGCACAGGGAUAAAUGGGGAAAAACAGGAUGGCACAGUCAUGGUCAUAGAUAGGCCAGAAUACAGAGGUGGCUCUUGAGCUGCUCCCCCAGCAGGUCACAGUGGUCAGCAAAUUUCUCAGGAAAAACAGGACAGGAAAACAACAGUUUUCAAGACAGAUUUGAAUCUCAAUCAAGUUUUUGCAGCAGAGAUCACGAAGACAUCACUUCAUGCUUAAAUGAACUAGAGAACUUAUUGAGGUAUUUGUAUGUGAUCAUGCCAAAUGUCCUGGGCAGUACCUGAUUAAACCCACUGCCAGCAGGAUGAGUAAAUCCAGCAGUAGAAAGGUGUUAAAAUGUUCCAUACUAGCCUUUGUGGAAGUAAACUGGUACUGGGUGCAGUAAAAGGCAAUCAAAUGUUAGUCCACAUGGAACUUGGGGGUUUUUUGUAGGGCCCAAUCUGGUACUGCUUUGAUAUAAAAAAAGUGAGAGAACGAAUAAAAAGAAAUACUGUUUGAUUUCCUGAUUAAAAUUGAGCUCCAUUUGUUUUGAAUGAAAAGUUUCUCUGUAGAACAGUGACUCAUAAGCUGUAAGUCAAAAAAGAAAAGAAGAAUUAAUCACCAGGAAAGGGAAAUACAAAAACAAAACCAA